rnacentral:rRNA from 1 species
GACGAACGCUGGCGGCGUGCUUAACACAUGCAAGUCGAACGGCAAGGCCCUUCGGGGUACACGAGUGGCGAACGGGUGAGUAACACGUGGGUGAUCUGCCCUGCACUUCGGGAUAAGCCUGGGAAACUGGGUCUAAUACCGGAUAGGACUCCUGGCUUCAUGGUUGGGGGUGGAAAGCUUUUGCGGUGUGGGAUGGGCCCGCGGCCUAUCAGCUUGUUGGUGGGGUAAUGGCCUACCAAGGCGACGACGGGUAGCCGGCCUGAGAGGGUGACUGGUCACACUGGGACUGAGAUACGGCCCAGACUCCUACGGGAGGCAGCAGUGGGGAAUAUUGCACAAUGGGCGCAAGCCUGAUGCAGCGACGCCGCGUGAGGAAUGACGGCCUUCGGGUUGUAAACCUCUUUCAGCUAUGACGAAGCGCAAGUGACGGUAGUAGCAGAAGAAGGACCGGCCAACUACGUGCCAGCCGCCGCCGUAA